ACUCAAAGGAAUAGACGGGGGCCCGCACAAGCGGCGGAGCAUGUGGCUUAAUUCGAUGCAACGCGAAGAACCUUACCAGGGCUUGACAUGCAGGGAAAUCUCCCAGAGAUGGGGGGUCCGUAAGGGUCCUGCACAGGUGGUGCAUGGCUGUCGUCAGCUCGUGUCGUGAGAUGUUGGGUUAAGUCCCGCAACGAGCGCAACCCUCGUCCUAUGUUGCCAGCGAGUCGUGUCGGGGACUCAUAGGAGACUGCCGGGGUCAACUCGGAGGAAGGUGGGGAUGACGUCAAGUCAUCAUGCCCCUUACGUCCUGGGCUGCACACAUGCUACAAUGGCCGGUACAAUGGGCUGCGAUACCGUGAGGUGGAGCGAAUCCCAAAAAGCCGGUCUCAGUUCGGAUCGGGGUCUGCAACUCGACCCCGUGAAGUCGGAGUCGCUAGUAAUCGCAGAUCAGCAACGCUGCGGUGAAUACGUUCCCGGGCCUUGUACACACCGCCCGU
rnacentral:rRNA from 1 species